ACAAGUUGCUUCUUGAUUAAUUUUAGGAUUAAAUUUUGUUUAGUCCCUGUACUCUGACGUUGUCCUCGUUUCAGUCCCUGACAUUCUCAUUUAAUCUGAAAAGUCCUUAAUAUCACAAUUUCCAUUUAAUUGGUACACUCCGUCCAAUUGCUCCGUUUGUAGGCUGACGUGGCAUUAAAGUCAACGCCAACUCAGCCUUUUCAAUUGCGAAAUGUCCAUACUAUCCAUGCCCUUUAUUAUUCUGUUUAUCUCUUCUUCUUCCCCAUCUCUGUCUUCUCCUUCUGUUUAUCUCCCUCCUCUCUCCUUCUGUUUGUCUCCCUCCUUUCUCAAAUGAUCAACCCCAAAUACUCCGCCUCCGCCUCGCCUCCAGCCUCGACACCCAGAUUGAGACCUAUAUCGAUCUUCUCCAUCGUUCUGCAAUUCUCGAUUUGUGUGAGCGAACGAAGUACAAAUCCAAGACGUUGUGCCUCAACCGGCGGUCCAUUUCGACAUCGGAGGCGUCGUCGGCGCCAACGACUGUCUUUGCUAAGAAGCCCGAGUGCUUCUUCACCAUGCUGAGCAGUUUGUAUCUGCGAGACCAAGAGAGGCCCAUGAUCGAAUCACUGUGACUCCAUGAAAUCACAGUGAUUCGAUCAGAAUCUCCAGAAAAAGAUCAAUACCCAGAAGAGGCCUCCUUCAUAUCCAUCUCAUCAAGAUUUGAGAUGGACGGAAACAAAACGACGCCUUGAAAUGUUUUAGAAUUGGGAAAGAAGCUUUGGACAGCGGAGAUUGCAGCUGUGCCGUAAAGUUUUUGUCUAAAGCUCGUCGUUUUGAUCCGUCGUUACCGAUCGACGAUAUGUUAUCGUCGGUUGAGAAAGACUUUGAUCCUUCGCCGACUUUAGAUGGCAUUAAAACCGUCGACGGGCUGUCCAUGUUGGGUUUGGGUCAGCAAGUGGGUAUACGGAGAAGCAAGCUACGAUUGUGAGGCAAUUGAAGAAGAAGAAGGAUUAUUGUGAGAUUUUGGGGAUGGAGAGGAGUUGUAGUGUUGAAGAUGUUCGAAAAGCUUAUAGGAAGCUGUGUUUGAAGGUUCAUCCGGAUAAGAACAAGGCCCGAGGUCUGCUGAGUAUGGCUCUAGUGGGUUAAAUGCUCGGACUGUGCUGCUUGUGCUACUUAUUUUGCUUCUCAACUUCAUGCCGUCUUCGGAGGGGAUUUGUACGCGAAACACCACAUUGUGACAUGUUGAAGCAGUUUGAGGCGGCAACUUGAUGUCUUGAACUGAAGGUCCAAUUUCUCCUGUUAUCUUAUGCUUUAGAUGAUACAGAGUUCUAUCUAUUCUAGACAAAAUGUUCAAUAAGUGAUUCUUUGCUAUUUCACUCUUGACACUGACCUUAAGCUUGAAUACCCAGUGUUCUUUGUAUUCUAUCUAUUACACAUGCUACCAUUGAUGGUAAUUUUCAAAAA